rnacentral:rRNA from 1 species
UACGGGGGGGGCAAGCGUUGUUCGGAAUUACUGGGCGUAAAGGGCUCGUAGGCGGCCAACUAAGUCAGACGUGAAAUCCCUCGGCUUAACCGGGGAACUGCGUCUGAUACUGGAUGGCUUGAGUUUGGGAGGGGGAUGCGGAAUUCCAGGUGUAGCGGUGAAAUGCGUAGAUAUCUGGAGGAACACCGGUGGCGAAGGCGGCAUCCUGGACCAACACUGACGCUGAGGCGCGAAAGCGUGGGGAGCAAACAGG